rnacentral:rRNA from 1 species
AUUGAACGCUGGCGGCAGGCUUAACACAUGCAAGUCGAGCGGAGAUGAGGUGCUUGCACCUUAUCUUAGCGGCGGACGGGUGAGUAAUGCUUAGGAAUCUGCCUAUUGGUGGGGGACAACAUUCCGAAAGGAAUGCUAAUACCGCAUACGUCCUACGGGAGAAAGCAGGGGAUCUUCGGACCUUGCGCUAAUAGAUGAGCCUAAGUCGGAUUAGCGAGUUGGUGGGGUAAAGGCCUCCCAAGGCGACGAUCUGUAGCGGGUCUGAGAGGAUGAUCCGCCACACUGGGACUGAGACACGGCCCAGACUCCUACGGGAGGCAGCAGUGGGGAAUAUUGGACAAUGGGGGGAACCCUGAUCCAGCCAUGCCGCGUGUGUGAAGAAGGCCUUAUGGUUGUAAAGCACUUUAAGCGAGGAGGAGGCUACUGAGACUAAUACUCUUGGAUAGUGGACGUUACCCGCAGAAUAAGCACCGGCUAACUCUGUGCCAGCCGCCGCAGUAA